rnacentral:rRNA from 2 species
AGUAACACGUGGGAAACCUGCCCAGAAGCGGGGGAUAACACCUGGAAACAGAUGCUAAUACCGCAUAACAACUUGGACCGCAUGGUCCGAGUUUGAAAGAUGGCUUCGGCUAUCACUUUUGGAUGGUCCCGCGGCGUAUUAGCUAGAUGGUGGGGUAACGGCUCACCAUGGCAAUGAUACGUAGCCGACCUGAGAGGGUAAUCGGCCACAUUGGGACUGAGACACGGCCCAAACUCCUACGGGAGGCAGCAGUAGGGAAUCUUCCACAAUGGACGAAAGUCUGAUGAGCAACGCCGCGUGAGUGAAGAUGGGUUCGGCUCGUAUAACUCUGUUGUUAAAGAAGAACAUAUCUGAGAGUAACUGUUCAGGUAUGACGGUAUUUAACCAGAAAGCCACGGCUAACUACGUGCCAGCAGCCGCGGUAAUACGUAGGUGGCAAGCGUUGUCCGGAUUUAUUGGGCGUAAAGCGAGCGCAGGCGGUUUUUUAAGUCUGAUGUGACAGCUUUCGGCUCAACCGAAGAAGUGCAUCGGAAACUGGGAAACUUGAGUGCAGAAGAGGACAGUGGAACUCCAUGUGUAGCGGUGAAAUGCGUAGAUAUAUGGAAGAACACCAGUGGCGAAGGCGGCUGUCUGGUCUGUAACUGACGCUGAGGCUCGAAAGUAUGGGUAGCAAACAGGAUUAGAUACCCUGGUAGUCCAUACCGUAAACGAUGAAUGCUAAGUGUUGGAGGGUUUCCGCCCUUCAGUGCUGCAGCUAACGCAUUAAGCAUUCCGCCUGGGGAGUACGGCCGCAAGGCUGAAACUCAAAGGAAUUGACGGGGGCCCGCACAAGCGGUGGAGCAUGUGGUUUAAUUCGAAGCUACGCGAAGAACCUUACCAGGUCUUGACAUACUAUGCAAAUCUAAGAGAUUAGACGUUCCCUUCGGGGACAUGGAUACAGGUGGUGCAUGGUUGUCGUCAGCUCGUGUCGUGAGAUGUUGGGUUAAGUCCCGCAACGAGCGCAACCCUUAUUAUCAGUUGCCAGCAUUAAGUUGGGCACUCUGGUGAGACUGCCGGUGACAAACCGGAGGAAGGUGGGGAUGACGUCAAAUCAUCAUGCCCCUUAUGACCUGGGCUACACACGUGCUACAAUGGAUGGUACAACGAGUUGCGAACUCGUGAGAGUAAGCUAAUCUCUUAA